CCCUGUGGAAUGGCAGAAAGAUACUUUGCAUGUGAGAAAUUCGGAGAAGCCUCUACACUGAAAACUUGGAAACUUGUUUUGCCGCGGUCGCUCUUUUUAACGAGAAGGACGGGCCUGCCCGUGAGGGCUCGGCGUCAAUCGACGUCCGCAGUUGGCAUCAGAAAUAUCAGGGUCGCCAGAGUCCUCUUUUGGGGGGGUUUUUUGGUCGUCUCCUCUGGGAAGCUGCUGCGCAGAUUGUGUGUUGACACUUGAGUGCGAUGCGUGGCGUGGCGGAUAGCCAUGAUUCGAUUCCGAUUAUUCUUCCUGGAGGG
rfam:Metarhizium majus ARSEF 297 Scaffold_2, whole genome shotgun sequence.